rnacentral:rRNA from 1 species
UACGUAUGGUGCAAGCGGUAUCCGGAUUUACUGGGUGUAAAGGGAGCGUAGGCGGCGCGUUAAGUCUGAUGUGAAAACCCGAGGCUCAACCACGGGAGUGCAUUGGAAACUGGCGGGCUGGAGUGCAGAAGAGGAGAGUGGAACUCCAUGUGUAGCGGUGAAAUGCGUAGAUAUAUGGAAGAACACCAGUGGCGAAAGCGGCUCUCUGGUCUGUAACUGACGCUGAGGUUCGAAAGCGUGGGUAGCAAACAGG